GAUGAACGCUGGCGGCGUGCCUAAUACAUGCAAGUCGAGCGAACAGACGAGGAGCUUGCUCCUCUGACGUUAGCGGCGGACGGGUGAGUAACACGUGGAUAACCUACCUAUAAGACUGGGAUAACUUCGGGAAACCGGAGCUAAUACCGGAUAAUAUAUUGAACCGCAUGGUUCAAUAGUGAAAGACGGUUUUGCUGUCACUUAUAGAUGGAUCCGCGCCGCAUUAGCUAGUUGGUAAGGUAACGGCUUACCAAGGCGACGAUGCGUAGCCGACCUGAGAGGUUGAUCGGCCAUACUGGAACUGAGACACGGUCCAGACUCCUACGGGAGGCAGCAGUAGGGAAUCUUCCGCAAUGGGCGAAAGCCUGACGGAGCAACGCCGCGUGAGUGAUGAAGGUCUUCGGAUCGUAAAACUCUGUUAUUAGGGAAGAACAAAUGUGUAAGUAACUAUGCACGUCUUGACGGUACCUAAUCAGAAAGCCACGGCUAACUACGUG
rnacentral:rRNA from 1 species